rnacentral:lncRNA from 1 species
UUUUUUCUUUUCUUCUCUUUUCUUUUCUUUUCUUUUUUUUCUUUUUUUUCUUUUCCUUAUGACAUUAUAUACUUUUUCUUUUCUUUAUGACAUUAUAUACGUGCUUGCAGAUCAGGAAUUCAAAACAUCAUUCCUCCCUCAAGAUGAAAAAUGUCUGAAAAACUCCUGAUCAACUUCUUCUCAAAUCUAAUUAGUCCUGUACUUCUGCCUGUAGAUAGAGUACUUCUCGCAAGGCCUUUUUAAUGAAAAAAAAAAAAAAUGGCAGAAACCAGAAAUGUAAAUUAAGACCAGUUUUGCAAGUGUUCUUCUAAAGAAUCUGGAAUAUCACCAUUUUGCCCACAGUGAAACCAUCCAAGGGAGCAAAACAGUUUGCUGACCCCUGAAUGUGAUGAAUGAGUCAGACUGUGAGUUGAGUAUUUCAGUUGCUAUUCCUGAAAGUGUCGUUUUUACCUUCAGGUAUUGUCUCUUCUGGCUUUUGACUAAUGUGUCUAUAAGAUAACCAAGACAGCCUAAAUGUCCACAUUCGUCCUUUCAUAUCAUAUUUAUCUGUAGUAAAUAUUUUUAUGACCUUGUUAUAGCCAUACACAUGUAUAUUAAUUAUAUAUAGAUAUAUAACUUUUGCAACCUAUUCCAAGGAGUUGCAGCUCCUCUGAAAUCAUGGUCUCUUAGGUUUUUUCAAGUCCAUGAGCCAUAUAGUUGGUUUUCAUCAUUUCAAAUCACCCUUCCUUUGGCUGUGAGAUGAAAUGAAUUUCAUAUUACAGUUCUAAAUGGCAUUAAGAACUAAAGGGAGAUGAAUAGCCCACCCUCUGCUCUGGAGUUUUUAUUUUAGUCCUCACUGUGUGAAAAAUAUGUCAUAUUACUUAAAUCUAAAUAGAAAAAUCACAGUAGCUAAUGUGUACUGAGCCUCCAUUAUGUGCUCUAUACAUUCUCUCAUUUUAUCCAUAUAUGCGUAAGAAAUGGGUUGGUGUGCUAGCCCUGUUUUACAAAAGAGGAAACUAAGGCUUAGUUAAGACACUUGCCCAAGAUCACACAACCAAUAAUUGACAUGUCGGGACUCACACAUAGAAUUGUCAGAUUACAAAGUUGGGGCUCUUGAUCUCACUAUUAAAUAAUAGGUGUGAGUAUUUUUGUUCUUUCAUAUACCUUCAAGUCUUUUAACCUGUUAAUACAACCACGCCAGAGAAUAUAAUGGAAUUACCCAGUAAAUUGACAACUUUGCUUCCUCUCACUGGCAAAAGUAAAUGGGAGAAUCAUUCCUUGCCGUCAUUCCUUCCUUCUUGCCUGGUCUCCCUGUCCAUUCCCAACUCUAUAAUCUGAGACAACUAGGGAAGUCCUGACUUUGGGGUCCCUAGCAUCCCCUCCUAUUUGUGAUCUUCAGCCUGUUGACACUUGCCAGCUUCUGAAGGCCAAUGAACAAGAAGAGAUGCUGCUUUUUCCAUUGUGCGGCUCACUAGCUGGAAGGCAACUUCUUACAAGUGGGCAGGGAGAUCUGUGUGAUGGAAGAGGCCCUAGGGCUGAGCAUAAAGGCCGCUGACUACCAGCAGUCCUCGUGGCUAGUGGACCACACAGGGGCGUGAAAGCCAGUACCUGCAUGGUUGGGGAGUUUGAGGUAAGCUGACUUCAGGACUUGAAGACUCUAUUACAAGUGGGAGGGGCUUUAAAGAGAUUCCUUAUAGUGCACAUUUGGAUAAUGAAAAUUUUAAAAAAAAAGAAAAGAAAAGAAAAA